rnacentral:misc_RNA from 1 species
UUUCCGUAGGUGAACCUGCGGAAGGAUCAUUACUGAGUGAGGGCCCCUCGGGGUCCAACCUCCCACCCGUGUUUAACGAACCUUUUUGCUUCGGCGGGCCCGCCUCACGGCCGCCGGGGGGCAUCUACCCCCGGCCCCGCGCCCGCCGAAGCCACCUGAGAACGCUGUCCGGAGUAUGAAGUCUGAGACAAAUAACUAACUACAUCAAACUUUCUACAACGGACCUCUUGGUUCAGGCAUGGAUGAAGAACGCAGCAGAUCGUAAACUCCCACCUCUGG